AAUAUAUGUGACAUAAUAUAUGUUAUGAUGUUGAAUCAUAAUUGAGCAAUAAAAAAAGAUAUAAAAGAUAAAAAGGAAAUAAGUUUUUAGCAUGGUAUCCGGCGGAUCUCGCAUUGGAGUGUGAUUUCAAAGAAUAAAGAAUCUCAAUAUUAUUAAUCAAUGCUCAUUUUAAACAUUUUAUUAUGUCGAAAUAUUACCUGUAUUACCAUUACAAAACGUGAUAAUGUUUUUAAAUAAUUACAAUGGUAUGCUAGUGCCACUUGGAGCAUUUGAAUAGUUAACAGGUCGCCGAUUCGUAUCUGUAUUGGUUAAGAGGUCGGAGGUCGAAGUCACGGAGAAGAUUUAACUCUUCUUCGUAGCUUCGUUGCAAACUCCGUUUGUAUGCAGCCUCCUCCUUGAUAGACUGUGAAAUACAAUUAUAAAAACCUUUCCUUUGCAACUUGCCUCUCACCGUACUUUGAUCAUACUGCAGUUUUCUGGGAGAGCCAAAUCGUAGAUGUCUUCCUGGAGUACACGGUUGUUCUUCGGAUGUUUCCGGUUCUGCAUAGGAAGUUUCCGGUUGUGGAUCUGACAUUUUUACUUCUGCAGCGGACCUUUCCGGUUCUCGAUCCGAGUUUUCUCCUUCGUCUCCGGAAUCCUAUGCAGCCGUGUCUUCGGGUUGUUAUACUCUUAAUAUUAUUUUCUUAGUCUUUGUUUCUUCAAAUAUCAGCUCUCCCUGAUGUACGUAGAAUAUCAUUAUACAGUGAAAAAACUGCAGCAGAUCUCGGUAAAAGGUGUAGGCAAAGUUGCUCAUAUUGUGGACCGAUAUACAAUGUCUCCUCAUUUGAUUGGACUCAUAUUUACAAUGUUGUAUAAGACACUUCAAUUUCUUAGCAGUAGGCAUCUAGAUAGAAAUAAAUAUUUAAUAUAUUCUCUUCUAUACAUCCUACAAUUUCCAAUUGAUUCGUAAAGACAGAUCCACAGAAAAUGUAGGAUGAACUUUAC
rnacentral:lncRNA from 1 species